rnacentral:rRNA from 1 species
AACGAACGCUGGCGGCAGGCCUAACACAUGCAAGUCGAGCGCACCCUUCGGGGCGAGCGGCGGACGGGUUAGUAACGCGUGGGAAUGUACCCUUCUCUAUGGAAUAGCCUCGGGAAACUGAGAGUAAUACCAUAUACGCCCUUCGGGGGAAAGAUUUAUCGGAGAAGGAUCAGCCCGCGUAAGAUUAGAUAGUUGGUGGGGUAAUGGCCUACCAAGUCUACGAUCUUUAGCUGGUUUUAGAGGAUGAUCAGCAACACUGGGACUGAGACACGGCCCAGACUCCUACGGGAGGCAGCAGUGGGGAAUCUUAGACAAUGGGCGCAAGCCUGAUCUAGCCAUGCCGCGUGUGUGAUGAAGGCCUUAGGGUCGUAAAGCACUUUCGCCAGGGAUGAUAAUGACAGUA